UCUUUAAAAAAAUGAAGAAUGCUUCAUGAGGUCUGUUUGAGGCCUUGACGCGGUUUUGAUGCAAAUAUAAAUAAUAAAAGAGAAGAGUAAUGGUGACUUGAGAAUUCUUAAUUUCUCAAAAGCAAAAAGCUACAUGAAUUAAAGAGCUUUACAAAAGAGGAGCAUCAAAAAGGCAGGCACCCGGACAAUGGCUUUGGCAUACCGGUAAGAUGUUGUACUCGUUCAUGUGCUAAUAAUAAAGGAGGUACUUUAACUUUUGCACUAUUUUUUUCUUUGGUGAUAUAGAGACGCUACAAAGAGCCACCAAACUUUUAUUAAUAAAGAUAAUUACAUUUUGGAAAGAAAAGGGGAUGAAUAGUAAGAGCAUAAUGAAAAAGAGACAAUAAGAAAAAAAGAUAAAGAAUAUUCUUUAU
rnacentral:lncRNA from 1 species